AACACCACCUGUGACUCCAAGGGACCCACUCCAGACCAAGCACACUUUCCUGCCCCACCCAGGUCAGGUCAGCUCCAGCCCCAGGGAGCGCUUCAGGGUGCAAGUCCUUGUGACGUAGCUUAUGGAUUUGUAACUCUAUUGACCGGGAAAGCAAAGGCCUCCCCUUGCUCACCAGUGCUGCUCUCAGUGCCCGGAUCUUCACCGUGGAGAACCAAAAGCUGUGCAGGUGAAUGCAUCCCAAGAACCAAGGGACACCUGGACCUGCCUGCAGGGCAAGUGCCAGGUGCAGCACCGCCCUUGGGAAGGAGACCUUCUCACUUGCUGCACUUUCCCCAGACGCAGUCCAUGAAAAUACAGAAAUUCAGAGGAUAGUUCUCAACUGUAUCCUGACUGGUUCAACAUACUGGCCUGGAGCGCGCCUAGCACACUGGUCGACAGGCCUCCCUUCCCUUCCUGACGACCUGCGAGUAGGCGUCUUCAGAAAGUGGGAUGCUGCAAUCAAUGGAACAGACAACAAGCUGGAUGGAGCAUGGGGAGAAGGGAAGAGGGACGUCUCCUGCAGUGGGAGGGCUGGUGAGAAAGAGGCGGCACGGAGCACAGAGGCGAGAAGGAGUGAGCCUAUGUCGCACAGAAAUUGUCCCAGGGGAGAGUACACGGACAAAGUGUCCAAAUAAAAU